rnacentral:rRNA from 1 species
UACGGGGGGGGCAAGUGUUGUUCGGAAUUACUGGGCGUAAAGGGCUCGUAGGCGGCCAACUAAGUCAGACGUGAAAUCCCUCGGCUUAACCGGGGAACUGCGUCUGAUACUGGAUGGCUUGAGUUUGGGAGAGGGAUGCGGAAUUCCAGGUGUAGCGGUGAAAUGCGUAGAUAUCUGGAGGAACACCGGUGGCGAAGGCGGCAUCCUGGACCAACACUGACGCUGAGGAGCGAAAGCCAGGGGAGCAAACGGG